GAUAAACGCUGGCGGCAUGCCUUACACAUGCAAGUCGAACGGUAACGGGCCUUCGGGUGCCGACGAGUGGCGAACGGGUGAGUAAUGUAUCGGAACGUACCUUUCUGUGGGGGAUAACGUAGCGAAAGUUACGCUAAUACCGCAUAUUCUGUGUGCAGGAAAGCAGGGGAUAGCAAGACCUUGCGCUGAUUGAGCGGCCGAUAUCAGAUUAGCUAGUUGGUGAGGUAAAGGCUCACCAAGGCGACGAUCUGUAGCGGGUCUGAGAGGAGGAUCCGCCACACUGGAACUGAGACACGGUCCAGACUCCUACGGGAGGCAGCAGUGGGGAAUUUUGGACAAUGGGGGCAACCCUGAUCCAGCCAUGCCGCGUGAGUGAAGAAGGCCUUCGGGUUGUAAAGCUCUUUCGGCCGGGAAGAAAUCGUAUCAGCUAAUACCUGAUGCGGAUGACGGUACCGGCAUAAGAAGCACCGGCUAACUACGUGCCAGCCGCCGCAGUAACAC
rnacentral:rRNA from 1 species